rnacentral:pre_miRNA from 1 species
GAACCACUCCCUCCGUUCGGAAUUACUUGUCUCGGAAAUGGAUGUAUCUAGAACUAAAAUACAUCUAGAUACAUCCAUUUUCGCGACAAGUAAUUCUGAACGGAGGGAGUAUACG